rnacentral:tRNA from 1 species
GCCGAGAUGGCGGAACCGGCAGACGCGCUACGUUCAGGGCGUAGUGGAUAAUAGAUCCGUGAGGGUUCAAAUCCCUCUCUCGGCA